rnacentral:rRNA from 1 species
GAUGAACGCUGGCGGCGUGCCUAAUACAUGCAAGUAGAACGCUGAAGCUUGGUGCUUGCGCCGAGCGGAUGAGUUGCGAACGGGUGAGUAACGCGUAGGUAACCUGCCUCUUAGCGGGGGAUAACUAUUGGAAACGAUAUCUAAUACCGCAUAAAAGUCGAUAUCGCAUGAUAUUGAUUUGAAAGGUGCAAAUGCAUCACUAAGAGAUGGACCUGCGUUGUAUUAGCUAGUUGGUGAGGUAACGGCUCACCAAGGCGACGAUACAUAGCCGACCUGAGAGGGUGAUCGGCCAAAAUGGGACCGGGAAACGGCCCCGACCCCUACGGGAGGCAGCCGUAGGGAAUCUUCGGAAAUGGGGGCAAAGCUGGACGAGCCAAGCCGCGUGAGUGAAGAAGGUUUUCGGAUUGUAAAGCUCCGUUGUAAGAGAAGAACGAGUGUGAGAGUGGAAAGUUCACACUGUGACGGUAACUUACCAGAAAGCGACGGCUAACUACGUG